AGGAGGCAGUGGGAAGUUGCCCUAAGAAGUGUCUGUGAUCUUCCUCAGAGCUGACGCUCAGUGGCGUCAUGAUCAAAACUGUCAGCAAGGAUUUGUUGUGCGGCGAGCCAUGACCAAGCUGUCCUGUGAUGUCCGCCGUGCCAGCCUGGUGAUGGAUGCUGCAUCUGCCUGUGAUGACCAAAGCUACCAUUUGCUGACUCUGAAGAGCAACGGGGGUCUUGUGGUCUCAUCUGAAGGUACUGUGAGGGUCAUCAGAGCAGCAGAGUGGGCAAUUCGCCAGGCAUCAGUGGGCAGACGAUCACAGCCCAUCAAACCACUGGAGGUCAUCUACUUUGUGCGCAAGAGGAUCAGGUCAGUGUCAUGGUGGGUGGCAGUUUCUUGACCCACGACAUGCAGAAUCACAACACAGGAACCGGCAAGUAAGUAAAACGUUUUUAUUAUUAAAUGAAGAACAACGAGAGGAACGGGAACAGACGAUGUGCAGGCUGGCAGCAAGAUUCCAGGAGAGGAUUCUGAGGAGGGAGACAGAGUGAGUAUAUGGUGGAAUGACGGAGGAUAAUCUUAGGAGUGGAGCAUACUAAUUGCAGAUAGUGGUGAGAGCCUCGGGAAGGGCUAGGUCAGGUCCGGGGGAGCAGGAAGGCUCCAGAAGGUGAAGGAACGGUUGAACAGAGAGGAGGUAGGAGCAGAGGCUUGGUGAGGGCAGGUGAGCGGCUGAGAGCGGGCGGCCAGGGGAGGAGACAGCGUGAUCUGGGUUGCAGGAGUCCGGGCUGGUUAUGGAGAUGGUGAAGUGUGGAGUGAAACCUGGAGCGGAGCAGGGAAGAGUAGUCAGGGUUUUUCUGGCGACAGGAAAUCCAGCAAAAUUUCACAAGAUCAGGUAAGCAAAACAGGAACUAGAAAAAAACACGGGAUCGAGACAGGUAAACGGCUAGAGCUACCCAAACAGAGUAAUCAUCCGGCAAAGUGAAGUGUCACACUGCUCCUUAAAUCCCCUGGACCUUGAUGACAGGAUUAGCUGCAACUGGAGACUCUCAGACACGCCCACCUGAAACAAUGCUCAGAGGAAAACAGGGUUACAUGCAGGAAGCUCACCACGGACCGUGACAGUCAGAGGAUGUCUUUUUGCUUGGGGAGCUCAUCAGUGAGACACAGUACGGAAUUGGGUCUCACUCCCAUACACUGUCGACAUCUAAUGUCUCCCUGUUCUUUAAGCUGAGGAUGCACCACAUUAGCAACUCUUAGCUUUCAGUGUGACAGCGUGAGACAGAAGCUCACAAAAGCUGUCCUUUUCAAAGGUCAGUAGGAAUCACAAUGUUCUUUAGCAUCUGUCUUAUAUCUGUUAUUGUCAACAUAAAAAAAACAUGUAUAAUUUGUAAUAAACGAGUUUUUCAUAACGGUCAGUCUGUCAUUCAUUUACUCUUUAAUUUUUGAAAUGUUAAUUUAGCCCUUUACUUUAACUCACAAUUAUCCCAGUUUUCUCUAUUCAAACUUUCAUUUUAAAUGGGUUGCAGGCUGAAGUGGAAAUAAAUAUAAAUUAUUAUAAUAACUUGCCAAAGCAAGUAUGUAUUAGGUUCAUAUUACGUGCAAAUAAUAAAGUCAAAGUAAAGAAAAUACAUUCUGUAUAUCUUCAUUUGUCUUUAUAUAAAAUAUUUUCUCAGUCAUUUAGGUUCUAGAGUUGUUUAGUUUUUUGGACUGGGUGUUUUUACUUCAAAUUUUGUUUGCUGCUUCUGUGUUUUAAUUUUUUUUUGUUUUACUCUUUUCUGUAAAUGAAAUCAGGUAUUUGAGUUUUUAUUUAUAAGUUGAUAUUAAGUUCUAAGGUAUCUUAAAACUUAUAUUUAUAAGUUGACCUCAGUUUACGAACUACAGCAGAAGCAGAUCUUGUUGACAUUAAAACGAUAAGUCUAUAGGAAAUUGACAGGAUAGGGGAAAACGGCUGGAAAGUGGAGUGAAAUAAGGGGAGUUUCCUGCCAAAACUGAUAUAUUUCAUAGCCACAUCUCUAAUGUUUCUAAAAAAUCAAACCAUAUAAAAAUCGGUUGAAAAUUGAGAAAGUUAAGAGUUGUUUAAAUUGUGUACGCACCACUAAACACCAGUGGGCAACUGUCCAAAGGUCUAGGUCUAGCUGCAGACACAGCCCCGACAAAACACGCCCCUAUGUACAAAACACGCGUGCAUGUACGAAGACGAGAACUCGCAUGCGUGUCGCAAGAUGGAAAUGACGGACACCGACCGUGUGUAUUUUAAGACACCUUACAGCUUUCCACCCAGAGAGCAGGCAACCAUCCAUCCACUUUCAGCUGUCCAUGAAUGUUGACCGGACAAAGCCACAGAAAUGUACGGCAGUGGGCUGCAGUAUGACUGGAGUGAGAGGCAGCUGAUGUCCUAUGCCAUGGAACUGCUCAUAUACUCGGAGAAAUUCAGAAAAGCUCUGGACUCAUCUGAAUUUUUGAAGAGGCUGUAGCAUUGUGUGGACAUUUUUUUGGAAGGUUUUUGUAAGGCCAAUAAAAGCUGUUGCUGGUUGUUU